rnacentral:rRNA from 1 species
UGCCAGCCGCCGCGGUAACACGGGGGGCGCAAGCGUUAUUCGGAAUUAUUGGGCGUAAAGGGCGUGUAGGCGGCUGGCUAAGUCUGGUGUGAAAGCCCGGGGCUCACCCCCGGAAGUGCGCUGGAAACUAGUCAGCUAGAGUAUGGGAGAGGGAAGUGGAAUUCCUGGUGUAGCGGUGAAAUGCGUAGAUAUCAGGAGGAACACCGGCGGCGAAGGCGGCUUCCUGGACCAAUACUGACGCUGAGACGCGAAAGCGUGGGGAGCAAACAGGAUUAGAUA